CCAGCGGGAGCGAGAAGAGGAUCGCAAGGAGUUCCAGCAGUUUCAGGCAUCGGUAAACAGAAAUUUUGCAACGAUGCAAAAGAACUUUGAGAAAAUUCAGGAAAAUUUCAGGCGUCUGUUGUUAGAACCCGAGCCAGCACAGGAGGAUCAGGUUGAAGAAGGCCAAGGCAGUGUGCAAGUUAAGGACAACCAAGUUAACUCACCUCAGGUAGCUCCGGGUAGGCCCAAGCAGCUCCAAGCUCCUACACCACCAUCGGUGGCAAUGCCUGACAAAGGUGCCCCUUGUCCAAUUGGGACAACUGUUCUGCGUGAUCAGGCUGGUAAGGAACUGAAUAUGGAUGGGACUCCUAAGGUUCCCUACAGGCACCCACACUAUGGUCAGAGUAAGGACAAGGAACAGUUUCAGGCAGUGCAGAGAAAUGUAGUUCAGUUGGAGGAAAUACAGGAAGAAGAUGGAGUUGAGAAUUAUUACAGAAAAAGGAAUGUUCUGACUGUUAAGCCUGCUAAGUUGAACAUAUCAGAAUUUGAAGGACAAUAUCCUGAUUCAUGGAUUCAGAAUUUGGAACAGUAUUUUGCUGCUGCAAGAACUCCAAUUGAACAUAGAACAGAACUGGCAAUUUCUUAUCUUAAAGGACCUGCUAUUCAGUGGUGGAGGGGUACUGGAUAUGCACCCUCCAAUGUGCCAUGGCAUAAAUUCUGUUCUUACCUAUCUGAUAGGUUCUCUGUGGAAUCAGCUUGUGAUGUGGUCAGUAACUUUCAUGCUGCACAUCAAGCAACAACAGUGGCUGCUUAUGUGGAACAAUUUGAGCAAUUGGUCAAUGGAAUGAGGAGAGAAAACCCUGCUAUACCUGAUGACUAUUAUGUCUCCAGCUUUGUCUCAGGCCUCAACCCUUACAUCAGAAGUUUAGUGGAAUGUUUUAAACCAAAAGAUCUGCAAACUGCCGUGUGGUAUGCCAGAAGAAUGGAGAAAUCUCAGCCUUCCUCUCAGUCAGUGCAAAUAAGCAGUAUGUUCCUCAACCAAAAAGACAAGUCAUUUUUGAACAGCCCAAACAACUGCUUCCAACUGCACCACAAAACAGGAAUGUGGUUAUUCAGCAGGCCAAACAGAACCAGGUGUGUUAUAAGUGUAGAGAGCCUUGGGUGCCUGGUCAUAGGCAAGUGUGUAAAAUGAACCAGAAAGCUCAAAUCCAAGCUCUACAAGCUCAAGAAGAUGGAACUCCUGAAACUAUAUUUGUGGCAGAAUAUGAUGAUCAGGAGCUAGACAAUACAGAGCAGCUAACUGAGGAAACAGUACUGAAAGUAUCAAUGCAUGCUGCCAUGGGCAUUGGAGCAACUAAAAAUACUUUCAUACUGACAGUUAAAUUGGGAAAUACUCUGGCAAUUGCACUGGUGGACAGUGGCAGUACUACUACUUUUAUAUCUCCUCAGAUGGCUAGUAAGUUGGAUGUUGUUCCCAGUCCUACACCAAAAACUAAAGUAGUAGUUGCUAGUGGAGGGAUCCUCUAGAGUGAAUUCCAAGCAAAGAACUGUCACUAUGCAAUACAAGGCCAUGCAUUUAUUGACAACUUCAGAGGGCCCCGUACAAAUGGAUUUCAUUUAUUGACAGCUUCAGAGGGCCCCAUACAAGUUAAAAGGCUAUGACAUCAUCUUAGGAGUAGAUUGGUUGAGGAAAUAUAGCCCCAUACAAAUGGAUUUCAUUAAGAUGGAAAUGAAGAUAUCUGCUCCUGAAGGGCAUUUUAUCACUUUUGUGGAUGAAACUGUACCUCUUACUACUGUUACUGAAGUAACUGACCACACUGAGAAAUUAGUGGAACAAG
rnacentral:lncRNA from 1 species